GGGACAGCUCUAUCUCUGCCUUCGUCAGCUGGCAGCGAUUGCCCUAACAGUCCCCAUCUCCUCUGUCAACUUUGAAAGGGACUUUUCAACAAUGAAAAGAAUCAAGACAGACCUGAGGAACAGGCUGCAGGGGGAGCAUCUGGCUGCAUGCAUGCGGUUAAGCAUCAAUGGGCCACCACCUAGGCUUUCCAUACAGGAGAGUACAAGAGAUCUUCUACGAGAAGUCGAGGAGGAUUAAGUGCAUGGACAAAGCAGGUAAACUCUGUCAUUGAGUGUGAGAGAGACAGAGAGAGAGGGCUUUGAAUGUGGACCCAGUUAAAAUUAUAUUAUUGUUAAAUAAAAAGAUAAAACAUUCUAAGUACUAUUUUGUCAUGGUAAUUAAGUUAAUUUAGCAGAAGAAUGUCCAUUUUAAAGAUGCAAUAUGUAACUUUUCUUGAGUAUCAAUUUUGGUUAUAUAGUCCUAUAUUCUUGAAGAGUAGAACUUCUAGAUGGACAAUGUGCUCUUUUAAUUGCUUUCACCCCACCAUAACUCAAAAUACAGGCCUAUUUUGCUUCAAUGUUUACAAUGUAUUUACAAUACAAAAGUAAACAAA